CAGUUCACUACCAAUACCCAGAUAUAAGAGCAUGACAGAAGAUAAAGCAGGGAGAAAUGAAGGUGGAAAAAAGUAUUGCUCCCCUCCAGCAACACCAAGGACAAGCUUAACUGAUUUCUUUGUGGCUACCACUUAGUGACAUGUAA
rnacentral:lncRNA from 1 species